rnacentral:rRNA from 1 species
AACGAACGCUGGCGGCAUGCCUAACACAUGCAAGUCGAACGAGACCUUCGGGCCUAGUGGCGCACGGGUGCGUAACGCGUGGGAACUUGCCCUUAGGUUCGGAAUAACUCCCCGAAAGGGGUGCUAAUACCGGUUAAUGUCUUCGGACCAAAGAUUUAUCGCCUUUGGAUGGGCCCGCGUUGGAUUAGCUAGUUGGUAGGGUAAAAGCCUGCCAAGGCGACGAUCCAUAGCUGGUCUGAGAGGAUGAUCAGCCACACUGGGACUGAGACACGGCCCAGACUCCUACGGGAGGCAGCAGUGGGGAAUAUUGGACGAUGGGCGAAAGCCUGAUCCAGCAAUGCCGCGUGAGUGAUGAAGGCCUUAGGGUUGUAAAGCUCUUUUACCCGGGAUGAUAAUGACAGUACCGGGAGAAUAAGCUCCGGCUAACUCCGUG